CCCCUCUCAGGGUCAUACUUGGAGAGUUUCCAGCACUCUACCAGUCUUGACUAGAAGAAGGAAAGUCAGGCAGAGGCAUAUCCGUUCCAUUCCUAGCCCGGGUAGUGGCUAGCGAGUGGAAGGCAACCUGCUACAAGU